rnacentral:rRNA from 1 species
AAUAUUGCGCAAUGGAGGAAAGUCUGAGGCAGCCACGUGAAGUGCAGGAAGACACCCCUAGGGGCGUAAAUGGCUUUUAUACGGGAAGAACUCCUUACUCGGUAGGGUCUGGUUGUACCGUGAAAAAAAGGACCGGCUAACUCUGUGCCCGCAGCCGGGGUAAUAGAGAGGGUCCAAGUUAAUUCCGGAAUCACUGGGUGUAAAGGGUGCACAGGCGGGCUUGUAAGUCAGAGGUGAAAUCCCGCGGCCUAACCGUGGAACUGCCUUUGAUACUCCAAGUAGUGAGUCGGGGAGGGAAUAUGAAAAUUCGUGGUGUAGCGGUAAAACGUGUAGAUAUCGCGGGGCACCCCGGAGGUGUAGACGGAUAGGUCCCCAGGUACACACUCUGAGGCAAAAAAGCGUGGGGCAAACACAGGAUUAGACCCCCUUAUAGUCCACGCCGUA